UGAGGAAUAUUGGUCAAUGGGCGCGAGCCUGAACCAGCCAAGUCGCGUGAGGGAGGACUGCCCUAUGGGUUGUAAACCUCUUUUGUCGGGGAGCAAGAUUUCCACGCGUGGGGAUUUGAGAGUACCCGAAGAAAAAGCAUCGGCUAACUCCGUGCCAGCAGCCGCGGUAAUACGGAGGAUGCGAGCGUUAUCCGGAUUUAUUGGGUUUAAAGGGUGCGUAGGCGGGGUGUCAAGUCAGCGGUAAAAUAGUGGGGCUCAACCCCAUCGUGCCGUUGAAACUGACAUUCUUGAGUGAGAGAGAGGUAUGCGGAAUGCGUGGUGUAGCGGUGAAAUGCAUAGAUAUCACGCAGAACCCCGAUUGCGAAGGCAGCAUACCGGUUCUCAACUGACGCUGAGGCACGAAAGCGUGGGGAUCAAACAGG
rnacentral:rRNA from 1 species